rnacentral:rRNA from 1 species
AAACCGUUGAAAGGGAAGCGAAUGGAGUUAGCAAUUCGCCCGGCCAAAUUCAUUUGCUGGUGCCUCGCGCCUUGGGCCUUCUGAAUCCGCAGGGCCGAGUGUGGUGUGGAUGCGACGUGCGGACGGCGCACUUCUGGCGAGCGAGCGUCAGCGUCGGUUGCCGACGGGCGACAAGGUCACAGGGAAGGUGGACUGGCCAAUAUGGCUGGUUGUUAAGCCUUGUGCUCGCGUAGAUCGACGGCGACCGUGGCUCGUGAGGCGACGCGUGCCUGGCUGGCGACUCGAACGAUCGGUCCGGCAUGACGACCGUUGCGGACGGUCCGCCUGUGCGCUCGAACUGGUGGCGGUCGAUCGGACGAUGUUCGCACACUACGCGUAUAAUAUGCUGACGACCAUACCGCUCCGUCCCACCCGUCUUGGAACCCGGACCGAGGAGUCUAACAUGUACGCGAGUCUCCGGGUGAUCGAAACCCGUGGGCAUAAUGAAAGUAAAGAUCGUCCUAGACGGUUGAGGUGAGAAGCAAGUAUUCCUAUAUUUGCUCCGUCAUCGACCGACCUAUUCUGCUCUCAUAAAGGUUUGAAUAAGAGCGAAUCUGUUGUGACCCUGAAGAUGGUGAACUAUGCCUGAAUACUGUGAAACCCUCGGAAACACUGGUAGAAGCUCGUAGCGAUUCUAACUUGCAUAUCGAUCGUCAAAUUUGGGUAUAGCGUCUAAUGACUAGUCGCACCAUCUAUUACCUGGUUCCCUCCGAAG